AUACGAAGGGGGCUAGCGUUGUUCGGAAUCACUGGGCGUAAAGCGCGCGUAGGUGGAUCAAUUAGUUGAGGGUGAAAUCCCGGGGCUCAACCUCGGAACUGCCUUCAAUACUGUUGAUCUUGAGACCGAGAGAGGUGAGUGGAAUUCCUAGUGUAGAGGUGAAAUUCGUAGAUAUUAGGAAGAACACCAGUGGCGAAGGCGGCUCACUGGCUCGGUUCUGACGCUGAGGUGCGAAAGCGUGGGGAGCAAACAGGAUUAGAAACACCAGUAGUCC
rnacentral:rRNA from 1 species